CAGGACGAACGCUGGCGGCGUGCUUAACACAUGCAAGUCGAACGAGGAUAGUUGCGGAAGGCUCGGCCGGAAGGGAUUAUUCGAGUGGCGGACGGGUGAGUAACGCGUGAACAAUCUGUCCCAGACAGGGGGAUAACACUUGGAAACAGGUGCUAAUACCGCAUAAGACCACGGUGUCGCAUGGCACAGGGGUAAAAGGAGCGAUCCGGUUUGGGGUGGGUUCGCGUCCGAUUAGCCAGUUGGCGGGGUAACGGCCCACCAAAGCGACGAUCGGUAGCCGACCUGAGAGGGUGAUCGGCCACAUUGGAACUGAGAGACGGUCCAAACUCCUACGGGAGGCAGCAGUGGGGAAUAUUGGGCAAUGGGCGAAAGCCUGACCCAAGCAACGCCGCGUGAGUGAAGAAGGCCUUCGGGUUGUAAAGCUCUGUUACAGGUGACGAAGGAAGUGACGGUAAUCUGUAAGGAAGCCCCGGCUAACUACGUGCCAGCAGCAGC
rnacentral:rRNA from 1 species